rnacentral:rRNA from 1 species
GGGAGCUUGCUCCCGGAUGUUAGCGGCGGACGGGUGAGUAACACGUGGGUAACCUGCCUGUAAGACUGGGAUAACUCCGGGAAACCGGAGCUAAUACCGGAUAGUUCCUUGAACCGCAUGGUUCAAGGAUGAAAGACGGUUUCGGCUGUCACUUACAGAUGGACCCGCGGCGCAUUAGCUAGUUGGUGAGGUAACGGCUCACCAAGGCGACGAUGCGUAGCCGACCUGAGAGGGUGAUCGGCCACACUGGGACUGAGACACGGCCCAGACUCCUACGGGAGGCAGCAGUAGGGAAUCUUCCGCAAUGGACGAAAGUCUGACGGAGCAACGCCGCGUGAGUGAUGAAGGUUUUCGGAUCGUAAAGCUCUGUUGUUAGGGAAGAACAAGUGCAAGAGUAACUGCUUGCACCUUGACGGUACCUAACCAGAAAGCCACGGCUAACUACGUGCCAGCAGCCGCGGUAAUACGUAGGUGGCAAGCGUUGUCCGGAAUUAUUGGGCGUAAAGGGCUCGCAGGCGGUUUCUUAAGUCUGAUGUGAAAGCCCCCGGCUCAACCGGGGAGGGUCAUUGGAAA